GGACUGGACGCUGACCAAAGAUGAGAAAGUAUUCCCCCGAAGUAUUAAAACUCAGGGGCUGAAAAUUCACCAGCGCUUUCAUUUUGCCAGUGCCCUGAAGCGAAUGUCCGUGCUUGCCUCGUAUGAGAAGCUGGGCUCCACCGACCUCUGCUACAUCGCGGCCGUGAAGGGGGCCCCCGAAACUCUGCACUCCAUGGUGAGCUGGCCCCAGCCUGGGGCAAGGGGUGGGGGCGCGGGGCAGCCCGUGACAUCCCCCUGCAUUCCCUGCAGUUCUCCCAGUGCCCGCCUGACUACCACCACAUCCACACCGAGAUCUCCCGGGAAGGAGCCCGCGUCCUGGCGCUGGGGUACAAGGAGCUGGGACACCUCACUCACCAGCAGGUACGGGCCCAGGCUCCCCCUACCUUCACCAUGUGCCUGGCCCGUCAGCUCCUCCCUGAGUCACCU
rnacentral:sRNA from 1 species